GAAAUUGAAAUUGAAACUGAAACUUAUCUGUCUGUGUGAUAUUAAAUAAACAUGUCAAUAUAUAUUUGCGCAUGUAUAUUUCAGAGUACUUCAGAGUUAAUUGCAUGAAAUUUCCUUUGUGCAUUUCAAGAGAGAUUAAUCCACCUAUGUUGCUAGUGGCUUUGCAAAUACUUAUAAAUUUAAAGAAGUCAUGUAUUGAUUGCUU
rnacentral:misc_RNA from 1 species